UUAGUUGUUAAGCUUAACAACGUUUAUGUUAACCCAUGGAUUCGCUUGUCUACACAGAAACCAGAAACUCUAUACAGUUUGAAGAUGUCUUAUCUGGACAAAAACUACAAAACUCUAGCUGCUAAAUCAAAGAAAAACAUUUUAGUCAGAGAUAACACUCUGGAUGCCUACAUUUCCGUAGAUAAUGU